rnacentral:lncRNA from 1 species
GAGACAGCCCGGCAGAUCUAUUCCCUAAUAAAGGCUUGUUGUGGCCUGGUCUGGUCUUGGUCUUCGGCCCUUUUACCUGACAUUUCUGGUGCCGUGACUCGGAUGGUAGAUGGUCCAUUAAGGGACGAUCCCCCCGCAGGACGGGGUUGAUUGACCUUUUGGCCAUCUCCAACGGACCUAUCUGCCGUUGCCAGGACCCUCCGGGGCUUUCUACCUUUGCCAUUGCUGACGCUACACAUCCACACCGGUCACCAAUGUCUGGGUGAGUAGGGAGUUCAGCCUCCCUCUCGUCGGGUUCUCUGUCUCGUUCUCUCUCCCUCCGGGGACUUCCUCAGAAAUCCAAGCGCUUGGUCAGAGAAACCCCCACGGCCUCUGGGCCCAGGACCGUGCCCCUGGGAGACGUCCCAUCGGCCCGCCUCCUCUCGUUCUCUCCCUCUGGGAGACUCACUCGGAGAUUGUCAAAGGAGACAAGGACGCUUCUCCCCUUUGUCUUUCUCCCCAGGGGCUGCCUCCCCCUCACCCGCUCUAAUCAGGGGGCCCAACAAUCCAAACCCCGCCCCUCAACGCCUCUGGGCUGCCUUCUGGCACAACUCAAACCCCUCGGAUUGUUGGGACCAGACUUUAGGCCAAAAAGAUUUGUUUUCUAUUGUAAUCAGGUUUGGCCUCAGUAUAAAUUAGAUAAUGGGUUUCCACGCCCCAAAAAUGGCACUUUCAAUUUUAACAUACUGUGUGAUUUACACAACUUCUGUCAGUGCAAUGGCAAAUGGUCAGAAAUCCCCUACAUACAAGCCUUUUCUACCUAUGCUCUUAACCCUCCCUCUGUCAAACCUGUUCUUCUCAAGUACUCCUAGCCUGAGCUGAUCACUCACCGCUCAUACCUCCCCCACUUUAUAACUCUGUUGAUAAGAAAAAGUUUUAAAGCUUAAUAGAUUAGCUAUUAAAGUAGUUGUGGAAGCAAACUAAGUAGUGUAUCCCUUUAAAAACUUGCAUUAGCCCAUUGCUUCUGCUGUUCAAAGUAAAGGUUAUAUAGCUUCUUUGAUUUGUAGCUCCACUAUAGAUAACAUCCUAACUAAAGAAUGAAGUAAAAAUCCUUGAACAAACUUGUGAUAUAUGUGCCUUAAUUGUCAUGUGUUUAGGGCUGUAAUCAGUGACAGAAACCACCUGUGUCUAACCAUUAAACAGGAAUUAGAACUUUAUUUACUUAACAAAGACCACUAGGGAUGAGAUAAUGAUGGACAAAAGUAUAAAAUGUUUAUAGUGAGUCGGAGACAAAAUAUUUAAAAAGCUAUAAGUAAAAGAUAUAUUUUUGAUAUAAAAGGAUUUUAUAUGUUUGUCUUAUUAGCAGGACAAGACCAAAAGGCCUAAGUACAUCAAGAAGGUGUGCGAAAGUGAUUUAUAAAGGAAAUAUAUGUUUACUUGUUGGUUUCAAGUUUAUUAUAAAAGGUUUACAGGAAUAGAGGUUUCAUUCCUUCUGAUUUUAAUUCUACAAGAGAUCUCUGUUAAUUGACUUACAAAAAGUUUUAAAUAGUCUUAUUUAUAAUUAUAAACCUAAAAUUAUAAAGAGAUUAUAAUUCCAUUGGGCUAAAUAUAUUUGAGUGCACUCUAGUUUUAGAAAUUGUCUUAUAUCUUUGUUUUUGUCCAAUCCUACAGCUGUUUUAUUUAUAGAUAAAGGUUAUUAAGUUCAAGGCAUGCUCCCCUUGGUGAACAAAGGAGCAGCCGCAUGGAAAUAUUUUCCAGUCUUUGUUCACUAGGGGGACCUCAACAGUUUUCAUCUUACAAGAGACUGACCCAAUAGUUUUCAUAGCCUUAUAAAAGACUUACAGGAAUAAAUAUUAUUUAAAUAUAUUAUUAUACUGUUUAUAUCAAUUGUCAUCAAAGGGAUAAAUUCUAAAUAUGUUAUUAUGGUGUGCUUACACUGGUCAUUUUCAAAGGACUAAAUAUCCUGUAAAAAACAACAAUAACAAGGUUUUAUUUUUUCUAGUGUACUAAAUGUAUUUAUACUUUCUUACUGUACAGGUUUUCUAAUAUUUGUUUAUGAUAAUAACCUCUUUUUGAUUCAGGUAUUUGCCUUUUCAUACACUCUAGCUAUUUAUGAUAACAGAUACAUAUACGGGUAUUUUCUUUAGAUGGUAUCCUAUCAAAAGAUUAUUUAUUUAUUUUUUUAAAAGAUAAUUUAGGUAAAAACUUUUGGUGUUUUAAAAAAAAUGAGUACAUUUAAUGAUGGCUAUUUUAUAUCAAGAUGGACAUUUAAAUGUGUUACAAAGGUAAAGUCAUCAUAAUUGUCAUGUUAAAAUAUUAUUUGUGGCUCUUUUUCUGUUAAUAUUCUACAGGAAUUCAACUACUAAAAAACAACCAUGACUGAUGACAGUAACAGUUCUCUAUAUUUUAAAUUCCAAAAUGUUUGUUAUUCAGGUAAAACUAUAAUAGUUAAGUUCAUUAUUCUUGUUACAAUGCUAAUGCUAUUGACCUUCUCUUCUGGGUGUUCAACAACUAAAGUUUGGAGACCAAAACUAAAAAGUAACUGGGCUAUGAGGACAGCCAAUAUUUUGGCCCUGGCCCCUCAAGGUCAACAAAGUUCCAGGACAUGAGGGAACCUUCUCUACAGGGUCCUACAUCUUUGGUAAGUCACUCAACCUCCUAAACUGGGAGAUUGCUGGACACCAGAGGACAAUGUACUGUGUGCCAAAGGAGGGUCACCAAGAAAAACUCUCCACUGCUUUCACUGAAAGCAACUUGGUCAAACAAGGCCAUAACCCAUCCAGAUGGCUGACACUGACAGAGAAGCAGAGAGGCACUAUGCAUGGUUCCAAAGUAAUGGCCUGGGGAGACUUAACUGACCUUAAUAGAUAACAAGAGGUUCAUAUUGAUUGACACAGGUCUCACUUUAACUUGGUCUUAAACACCCAGCAGAAAAAAUAACCAAAAGAGGCACAAAACAAUGACAUAAUAAUAAAGCUAGACUUCAGAAAAAUUAAGACAUAGCCCACCCAUUAAAAUCUUUUGGUUCACUCAUGACACAGCCAUUUCAAAAAGACAAAACUUUGGGUACUAAAGAGAAGCAAAAAUCAUUAAUUAGCUACAAGUGUGUACAGAUUCUUUUCAAAAAAAUUAAAAGAAGUUAUUUACAGGUAACCAAUCCUAGAAACCACUGGUCUCCAGAUCUCUCCUUUUAGAUAAGUGUUUUUCUGAUUCUGUGAUAACUAAUUAACUAUCGUGUAAUGAUAAAAAAAAAAACAACAAAAAACCAUAAAGUAAGAGUAUUGAGAAAAAAUCACGUGCUUGUCAGCCACAGUCAGGAUAAGUUCUAUACCAAGCAGCUACAAGAUUUAUUCCUUUUAAAAUAAUGUACAUCCUUGUUCUCUGUUUAUGAUGCCUCUUCUCAUUGUGCUCAUACUUUCUGGAUACCUACCCGUGUCUAAAAAGAUCAAGCCUUUUAUGCUACACUUGAUCACCUUAAGUCGUCCAGUGUCCUUGUUGAGGUUAUCAGUUCUCUUUAUUUUUAAAUAUAUCUAGGAGGCCUCCAAAAACUGAGAGAUACAGGAAUAAAACUGUCCUGGCCUUGAAUUUAAAGAAGAAGUCAGGUUCAUAGUAACACUACACUCAUUGGUAUGUUGGCCUCCAAAAGACAUUUGCUCAGUUACAUACACCUUUUAUAUUCCCCCCCCAAAAAAAGGAUUAUAAAGAUUAUAUAAAUUGUGUUUAUCACUUUUCCACUCAUUCUCUAAGAGCAAGGACAUGACACAUGGGCCCUUAGAUCAGGAGCUAUGAUCUCUUCCAUAACAGUCUCUUACUUCUAUAACAAAUGAGCCCCUAAACAUCCAGCUGUCUCUGUAAAACCUAUGUAAAUAAUAAAUAAAAAAUUACAUGUCAAAUGAAAAAAAUUAAAACUCAAUGGGCCAGAUAGAUAUGCCCCCCAAGGUACUAAUCAAUACUGGGGUACGUUUGGUUCCUGGAGCUCAUGGCUCACCUGGCUAUUACUACUCUUGGGACCCCUCAGUAUUAUCUCUAUGAUCUCUUCCAUAACAGUCUCUUACUUCUAUAACAAAUGAGCCCCUAAACAUCCAGCUGUCUCUGUAAAACCUAUGUAAAUAAUAAAUAAAAAAUUACAUGUCAAAUGAAAAAAAUUAAAACUCAAUGGGCCAGAUAGAUAUGCCCCCAAGGUACUAAUCAAUACUGGGGUACGUUUGGUUCCUGGAGCUCAUGGCUCACCUGGCUAUUACUACUCUUGGG